rnacentral:rRNA from 1 species
CCUACGGGGGGCUGCAGUGAGGAAUAUUGGUCAAUGGGCGUAAGCCUGAACCAGCCAAGUCGCGUGAGGGAUGAAGGUUCUACGGAUCGUAAACCUCUUUUAUAAGGGAAUAAAGUGCGGGACGUGUCCCGUUUUGUAUGUACCUUAUGAAUAAGGAUCGGCUAACUCCGUGCCAGCAGCCGCGGUAAUACGGAGGAUCCGAGCGUUAUCCGGAUUUAUUGGGUUUAAAGGGUGCGUAGGUGGCCUGUUAAGUCAGCUGUGAAAGUCUGCGGCUCAACCAUAGAAUUGCCAUUGAUACUGGGAGGCUUGAGUAUGUUUGAGGCAGGCGGAAUGCGUGGUGUAGCGGUGAAAUGCUUAGAUAUCACGCAGAACCCCGAUUGCGAAGGCAGCUUACUAAGCCAUGACUGACACUGAUGCACGAAAGCGUGGGGAUCAAACAGGAUUAGAUACCCUAGUAGUC